GCCAGGCGUGGUGGCGCAUGCCUGUAGUCCCAGCUACUCGGGAGGCUGAGGCAGGAGAAUUGCUUGAACCCAGGAGGUCGAGGUUGCAGUGAGCCAAGAUUGCGCCACUGCACUCCAGCCUGGGUAACAGAGCGAGAUUCCAUCUU
rnacentral:SRP_RNA from 1 species